rnacentral:rRNA from 1 species
UACGUAGGGGGCUAGCGUUGUCCGGAAUCAUUGGGCGUAAAGCGCGUGUAGGCGGUUCGGUAAGUCCGCUGUGAAAGUCGGGGGCUCAACCCUCGGAUGCCGGUGGAUACUGUCGAGCUUGAGUACGGAAGAGGCGAGUGGAAUUCCUGGUGUAGCGGUGAAAUGCGCAGAUAUCAGGAGGAACACCAAUUGCGAAGGCAGCUCGCUGGGACGUACUGACACUGAGGCGCGAAAGCGUGGGGAGCGAACAGG